CCCCGGUAAACGGCGGCCGUAACUAUAACGGUCCUAAGGUAGCGAAAUUCCUUGUCGGGUAAGUUCCGACCUGCACGAAUGGCGUAAUGAUGGCCAGGCUGUCUCCACCCGAGACUCAGUGAAAUUGAACUCGCUGUGAAGAUGCAGUGUACCCGCGGCAAGACGGAAAGACCCCGUGAACCUUUACUAUAGCUUGACACUGAACAUUGAGCCUUGAUGUGUAGGAUAGGUGGGAGGCUUUGAAGUGUGGACGCCAGUCUGCAUGGAGCCGACCUUGAAAUACCACCCUUUAAUGUUUGAUGUUCUAACGUGGACCCGUAAUCCGGGUUGCGGACAGUGUCUGGUGGGUAGUUUGACUGGGGCGGUCUCCUCCUAAAGAGUAACGGAGGAGCACGAAGGUUGGCUAAUCCUGGUCGGACAUCAGGAGGUUAGUGCAAUGGCAUAAGCCAGCUUGACUGCGAGCGUGACGGCGCGAGCAGGUGCGAAAGCAGGUCAUAGUGAUCCGGUGGUUCUGAAUGGAAGGGCCAUCGCUCAACGGAUAAAAGGUACUCCGGGGAUAACAGGCUGAUACCGCCCAAGAGUUCAUAUCGACGGCGGUGUUUGGCACCUCGAUGUCGGCUCAUCACAUCCUGGGGCUGAAGUAGGUCCCAAGGGUAUGGCUGUUCGCCAUUUAAAGUGGUACGCGAGCUGGGUUUAGAACGUCGUGAGACAGUUCGGUCCCUAUCUGCCGUGGGCGCUGGAGAACUGAGGGGGGCUGCUCCUAGUACGAGAGGACCGGAGUGGACGCAUCACUGGUGUUCGGGUUGUCAUGCCAAUGGCACUGCCCGGUAGCUAAAUGCGGAAGAGAUAAGUGCUGAAAGCAUCUAAGCACGAAACUUGCCCCGAGAUGAGUUCUCCCUGAGACUUAGAGUCUCCUGAAGGAACGUUGAAGACGACGACGUUGAUAGGCCGGGUGUGUAAGCGCAGCGAUGCGUUGAGCUAACCGGUACUAAUGAACCGUGAG
rnacentral:rRNA from 1 species